UCCGGUAUGGUGUAACGGCUAACAUUGUCGCCUUUCAUUUCGACACAUGUCAAUUUGAAAUUCAUGUCGCGACGGCUCGGGGUUCGAUUCCCCGUACCGGAG